GAAGGAGGUGGGCGGGCCUCCGGCACGUCCGGCUCUCCGAUUGGUCGGCUCGCUGUCGUUGCGUGCGGCGGUGGGGAGAUCGUCUCGGCGUCCCGUGUGAUCCCGGCGCGGCUGCGGACAGAUGGCGUCCAACUAUAGAAAACCUGGCUUGACUACAGCCCAGCGAAAGAAAAGUGGCUUGAAACCUGAACUUACAGAAGAGCAAAAGCAGGAGAUCAGAGAAGCUUUUGAUUUGUUUGAUACCGAUGGAUCGGGAAGCAGGAUGCAUUUCAACCAGACUGCUAAGAGAACGGGACGGUGCCACCAUUGGGACAUCUUGCGAAGAACUUUUUGGCCUAUGAUGACACAAAAAAUGAGUGAAAAGGAUUCAAAGGAAGAAAUUUGAAAGCUUUCAGAUUAUUUGAUGAUGAUGGGACAGGAAAGAUUUCAUUCAAAAACCUGAAAAGGGUGCCAAGGAGCUGGGAGAAAAUUUAACAGAUGAAGAGCUUCAGGAAAUGAUUGAUGAAGCUGAUCGAGAUGGAGAUGGAGAAGUAAGUGAGCAAGAAUUUUUGAGAAUCAUGAAGAAAACAAGCUUAUAUUAGGAUUUGUUGCCUUACAGCUGUUCCAAAAGACGACAGGGAAAAGACUUAAAAAUGGGUUUGUAUCUCCUGCAUAUUAUGCUAUGUAAGGAAAGUCUGAAAGGACAGACUUUCGUCUCAUUCUUCUUUUUCACCAAAGUUAGUUUCUGGGAGGGGGCUCUGGUACCAAACAAACUGUUCGAGUGAGAUACUGCAGAAAUACAAAUAAUAUGGCAGAACUGAAAAGGAAGGAUGAACUGAGCUGGCAAGGGAGGGUCCCUUUCCCCUCUGGCCCACAAAUGAAGGUUUCACUAAUUGCCAUUUUGGAUAAAGAAUGCUGUGUCUUAAGCAGAUAAUUCAAACAGCCUCAAAACAUUUCACUUGGGUUGUGAAAGUACUGCUGUUUCUGAGAGAAGCCCAUUCUCACCUUCCCAGGGCUACAUAAUAGAUAUCAUCUCAUAACACCUUAAAGAACCAAAGUAUAAGCACAGUAUUUUUAUUCCAUUUAAGGCUUUUAGGUGAUCUUUGUGUCCUUUUGUUUAUUUCCAUUAAAGACUCAAAAAUCAAUUUAUACUUAUUUCUGUAUUAAACACUCUAUUCUCCCAGCAAGUUCAUUUUGGACCUAGUGGGAAACAAAGGCAUAUAACUAGUUUUUGGUUCUUCAUUCCGAGCAGCAUGCCACCAAUAAACCGCUUCUCCUUUAA